AGGAAUAUUGGUCAAUGGACGAGAGUCUGAACCAGCCAAGUAGCGUGAAGGAUGACUGCCCUAUGGGUUGUAAACUUCUUUUAUACGGGAGUAAAGUGGAGUAUGCAUACUCCUUUGUAUGUACCGUAUGAAUAAGGAUCGGCUAACUCCGUGCCAGCAGCCGCGGUAAUACGGAGGAUCCGAGCGUUAUCCGGAUUUAUUGGGUUUAAAGGGAGCGUAGGCGGGUGCUUAAGUCAGUUGUGAAAGUUUGCGGCUCAACCGUAAAAUUGCAGUUGAUACUGGGCGCCUUGAGUGCAGCAUAGGUAGGCGGAAUUCGUGGUGUAGCGGUGAAAUGCUUAGAUAUCACGAAGAACUCCGAUUGCGAAGGCAGCUUACUGGACUGUAACUGACGCUGAUGCUCGAAAGUGUGGGUAUCAAACAGGAUUAGAUACCCUGGUAGUCCACACAGUAAACGAUGAAUACUCGCUGUUGGCGAUACACAGUCAGCGGCCAAGCGAAAGCGUUAAGCAUCCCACCUGGGGAGUACGCCGGCAACGGUGAAACUCAAAGGAAUUGACGGGGGCCCGCACAAGCGGAGGAACAUGUGGUUUAAUUCGAUGAUACGCGAGGAACCUUACCCGGGCUUAAAUUGCAGCGGAAUGUAGUGGAAACAUUACAGCCUUCGGGCCGCUGUGAAGGUGCUGCAUGGUUGUCGUCAGCUCGUGCCGUGAGGUGUCGGCUUAAGUGCCAUAACGAGCGCAACCCUUAUCUAUAGUUACUAUCAGGUCAUGCUGAGGACUCUAUGGAGACUGCCGUCGUAAGAUGUGAGGAAGGUGGGGAUGACGUCAAAUCAGCACGGCCCUUACGUCCGGGGCUACACACGUGUUACAAUGGGGGGUACAGAAGGCAGCUACCUGGCGACAGGAUGCUAAUCCCUAAAACCUCUCUCAGUUCGGAUUGGAGUCUGCAACCCGACUCCAUGAAGCUGGAUUCGCUAGUAAUCGCGCAUCAGCCACGGCGCGGUGAAUACGUUCCCG
rnacentral:rRNA from 1 species